ensembl:lncRNA
UGGAGAAACCGAGGCACAAAAGGGAAGCUAGCAUUCAGGAUCACACCGCUGGUAAACAGCACAGCUGAGAGCCGGUGUCGUCUGAGUCCGGAGUCUGCCAUCCUCCUUCCACGCAGUGUGGCCUCCUGGACGUGGGCUAGCUCUCCUGCUAGCGAGUUAGGAAGAGCAGCAAGUUCACAGUACAAGAACAAGGAUGCCAGUCCUGGCUCUUACUCACCAGACGUAUGUCUUGGACAGUGGCCUUCGGUGCUGAGCACUCAGGUUGCCAGUUUGUGAACUGAGGGUACUGACUCCCAGGCAGCUUUCCUCCUAGGGUCUCUACAGGAGCAUCAAGAGAGACAAUGCACUGGAAGGCGCUUUGCGAGGUAAUCCAGCCAGGUGAAUGUAAGGGAUUGUCAUUCCCUUGGGAUGCCCAGGACUGAGGUGGGAUGGUCAUCCUGUGUGAAGGUGACAUACAUGAAGCUAGUGGCCACAAUCGCUACCACAGAACUAAGAAGCAAAGAGCAGUGGUUUCCAGUAUUAAAGUCACACCUGCCAGCAUUCCUCAUUGCAUCCCACCCGGCCGCUCCCCAUCUCCCCAGCUGGAAUUGUUUAAUGGGAUGGCUAGCUUUCCCUGGGGUGAGUCUGAUGGUCAGUUGUUGUAUUUUUCACUUGCCAAGGACAAAUCCAGGAGUAUGUGGACUUCAGGCACAGCAUGAUUCAGGGUCAAACAAUACCAGCAGGCUCCAUCUCUUGAUUCUGUUCCCCGUGGGGCAGCUCCGUCCUCAGGCCUCUCUGGCCAUUUCAGGCUCCCACACCCCAAGUGCCAGCUCAGAGGAAAAGAGGCCCCUUCUCUGAUAGCUCAGAGUUCCCAGAGUUGAGUCAGGUUGGCUCUGAUUAGACCCGCUUGGGUCACCUGAUGAUCCCUAAACCAACACGAUGGCAAAAGGGAUGGGAAGAGCUGACUGGUGGAGCUCCCGGCACAGCUCCUCCCCUGGCACUUGAAGCACAUGAACCGGAAGUAAAGUAGGGGGGGCCUCCCCAGAACAAAAUCAGGGUGCUUUUGCCUCCAGAAGAAGGUGUAGGAAAUAAUAAAAAUAAAAUACAAAUGAACCCCUCUGGCUUGGCCCAGCUCCCUCCCAUUAGCCACUGCGGGCAGGUGGUUUGGGCCUACAGAGCAGCAUACCCUCCUCCCAGGGAGAUCUCUCUGUGCUCAGAUCCCGGCACCAGCAGGUCCUUCUAGUUGUGGCAUGUGGGACGCUGCCUCAGCGCGGUCUGAUGAGCAGUGCCAUGUCCGCGCCCAGGAUUCGAACUAACGAAACACUGGGCCGCCUGCUGCGGAGUGCGCGAACUUAACCACUCGGCCACAGGGCCAGCCCCUAGAGGGUAUUUUGGAUUUGGCAGAAUAGCCUUCGUCUGUGAAGAGUAGAACUUAAUUAUCAAAAGCUGAACCGGAGCGAGCAAUCCAUCACUGGGUGACACAUCCUUGCCUGUGUUCAUUUGAAAAACAUUUUUUUGUGGCUCUUGGAAGAGAGGGGAUAAAAAAGCUGUCAGAACCAAAAAAGAAAAAAAAGAAAAAAAAAGAAGAGGAAGGGAAAAGAAGGAAAAAAUCUCUCUUGGCAUUCCUCAUUCCACAAC